rnacentral:rRNA from 1 species
AUUGAACGCUGGCGGCAUGCCUUACACAUGCAAGUCGAACGGCAGCACGGGAGCUUGCUCCUGGUGGCGAGUGGCGAACGGGUGAGUAAUGCAUCGGAACGUGCCCUGAAGUGGGGGAUAACGUAGCGAAAGUUACGCUAAUACCGCAUAUUCUGUGAGCAGGAAAGCAGGGGAUCUUCGGACCUUGCGCUUUUGGAGCGGCCGAUGUCGGAUUAGCUAGUUGGUGGGGUAAAGGCCCACCAAGGCGACGAUCCGUAGCGGGUCUGAGAGGAUGAUCGCCACACUGGAACUGAGACACGGUCCAGACUCCUACGGGAGGCAGCAGUGGGAAUUUUGGACAAUGGGCGCAAGCCUGAUCAGCCAUGCCGCGUGAGUGAAG